ensembl:miRNA
UCAUAACUUUCUCAAAAAGUUCUCCUUUUGGGCUUUAAACGCUCCAGGCUUAGCCUCAGCCAAAAGGUGAAUAUUUGGAAAGUUUCUGC